rnacentral:rRNA from 1 species
CACGUAGGCGGCCUGCCAAGUCAGAUGUGAAAGCCCACGGCUCAACCGUGGAACGGCAUUUGAAACUGGCUGGCUAGAGGAUGGUUGGGGUGAGUGGAACUCCUGGUGGAGCGGUGAAAUGCGUAGAUAUCAGGAGGAACACCGGUGGCGAAAGCGGCUCACUGGACCGUAACUGACGCUCAGGUGCGAAAGCUAGGGUAGCGAACG